GCUCAGUGGCCACCUAUGGAAAUUUGUUUUAAUUAUUUUGUUUGGAUAGCAUAAGCUAUGGUAUCAGACAAGCAUGUAUAUUACAAAGUAGAAAACAUGUCAAAUUACCAAACCAUAUAUAUGAAAUAAAGUACAAUCAGAGGAGGUUAACUUCUCAAACCAAAAGAAUUCUUUUACUUCAAACUAAUCAGCCUUCUUAUUGAAACUUGAAUUCUUUUGCAACUAGACUCACUAUUGAAGAAAGAAUUUCCCAUGUUCUACUUCUAACUUACAUUUCUGAUUCUUAAUACAUAACAGUAAUGCUUAUUGCUUAAACAAAAACAACAACAACAACAAUUGAGUUCAAAUUCUAGAGAUAGUACCAUCCAUGAUCCAUUGUCAUACUGUAAUGCCAAUUCUUGAAUAGUCUUCAUCUUGAUAAGUUCCACUUGAAUUCCAAUUUCCAAGACAUCCAAUCCAUGUUCACCCGCCAACCAAACAAACCUCUAUCACAUAACUGGAAAAUCUCAGGCCUUGUUUGGAUGACCAAUUAUUUCUGCUAAAAAAGAAAGCUAUUGUAAGUAAGAAAAACAAACAGGUCCUUCAGUUCACCAAAUUCCAAUCAACCUAUAAGAACACUAAAUUAGUAUAUGUAAAAUCCAAACCUGUCAGUUGAACAUCAAGAAACAUCCUUGGCAUUGAAUAAGAAAGCAGCAGAGCAUAAAAUUGAAGCAACAAAUGCAAAAAAUCCUAACCCAAUCAUCAAAGAGAAUCCAGCUACCAUUAAAUCUAUUAAACAUUGAAAAGGAAGAAAACCCAUCAUCAUACUGUAAUUCUCUUCUACUUCUUCUUCUCCUUGAGAAAAAUGAGAAUUGGGAUCUCUAUUAUAUAUAUAUAUAUAAAGAUUUUUCUUACAGAUGCCAAGAAAACAUGGUGACACGCAAACAGU
rnacentral:lncRNA from 1 species